UCCUGGGGACUAGAUUUGCUGGUGACAAGCAGCACCUCUAGAUGUAAACUUGCACAUGGAGGGCAGCAGACUGUGCUUCACAGCUGGCUCCCUAAGGAGUCUCAGCAGCUGAGUUCCUUCUGACACUCGUGUGGGGGGAUUUCUAACAUUUCUGUUCCAUGUCCCCAACUCAGCUCCUGUGUCCAGUGAAAAGGAAGUGUACACAUAUGAGAAAUGGUUGCUUUUCUCCAGGCAAGCACGUGAAUUUUAGAACUGGAAGAAAGAAAUGUCCUGACCCACCUGGACCGAUUUGGGUCUCAGGAGGCACCCGGGAGCCACCUUCUGUGUCCUGGGUGUGGCCGUGGCUAUAAAAGGGCUCUGCUGAAAGGAUGAGGU